ensembl:lncRNA PCAT1 prostate cancer associated transcript 1
AAAAAAAAUAACCCAGCCUCAGAGGUGCUUAUUUAGCAAAUUCAACCUUAAACCUGAGUGCAUGGAAACUAUUGAUGCAGUGUCCAAGGUGGAGAAAGGUCAGAGUGGAUCCAGAGGAGCCAAGAGAAGACGUCCAGCAUGGUGACCUGGGCUCAAGUCAAGGUCCUUAUUUCUCUGAUUUCUGUUCAGAAAACACAUCUUCAGGAAAAUCACCCCUGACUCACCCAGGCUAAGUCACAAGCUUUUGUUAUAAGGUCUCAUCACACCAUAUGCCUCUCUUUCAAAACCAGCACCUGCAGAAAUACAUAAAAAGGGCUGGUCAUUUUUAAAUGAUCCCAUGAUCCCUGGACUCUUUGACUUCUCAAGGCUUAGACUCGUGCUUCCUGGAAUGUCCUUCAUUCCUCUCAGGCUGGUACAUUCCAAGUCUCCCUUCAGCACACAGCCUACAUGUGAAGAACAUGAUCGCAGCCCUCCAGCAAGGCCGGGUGAAAAGAACCACUGCCUUAGAACCCUGCAGAUGCAACUUUGGUGGCUUUAAAUGUUGGUUCUAACUGGACGGCUCAAGCCAGCACGGAUAUCUCCAUCAGGAAUUUCCCAUCCACAUUCCACAAGCAACUGUGUCUGUGCACAAAGUUGGAGGCAGUUUCUUAUAGGGCACGUUUGAGGCUGACUGCAGUGGAAGAUGUAACUUACUGGACAUCAUAGGGACAUGGUGCAUCCUGUCCCUAUGAUGCACCAUGCCUGGCCUGCGGGCCUUCUUAAUAUGCAGGGCAAUGGCCAGUGCUGCUGUCCCCCUGCACGCAGACUUGUCACAGUGGCACUGUGGGGCUCUGCUGGACUCAUCAGUGGCUCCCUCACCCACAGCCUUCACAACUCUGACUGGAAUUCUUCGCAGAGCCAGGGCACCUAAAGGCAAAAGGUCAUUCUCUCUGGGUGAAUCCAGCUGACAUGUUGUGAGGACACUCAAGCAGCUUUAUGGAAAAGCCCACAUGGUGAGCAACUGAGGCCUCCUACCAACAGCCAACAAGAAACCGGGGCCUUUGCCAACAGCCAAGAAAUAAGAAUCAGAAAGAAGGACACACCAUUCCAUAGCACAGAACACAAGUAGAUGGCUCCCAUGAAGAAUCUAGCAUCAUGGUAUGGCAGAAGCAGAAUGGACUCAGGAAUCAUGGUGCCUACACUGGAAUUUCAGAUCGGCCACUGACACAAUGGACACAUUAUUCAACAUUUCCAAAUCUUGGCAUUCUUAUCCACAAAGUGAAGAUAAUAAUUGUCAAUUCACAGGUGCAAAAGAUUUGUCAAGUAACUCUCCAAAGUAAAAGAGAGGGCUGGAGUUUAGACUCAUGACUGUUCUGCUCUAACCCAAGUGAUUCUGGAUCCCAGACUCCCCAAAUGACAAGUUAUUCCAGAAAUACUCAGAAAAAGGAGGGUGCCGUAUGUCGCACAUGGAAAAAUAGAAAAAGUAACAGAAUCCAGCCAAAGGAUUCCCAGAAAUUGAGGCUCUUCUGUUCUUGGCAUUUGCAUCUUUGGAUGUGUGUUUUUUACAUUGCUCUAUGCAAAAG